UGGGAUAACCUGUAAAGCUCAGGAGGGAUAGCGCCAUCUCAAAAAAAAAAAAACCCUAUAUAUGGCGCUAUCUAUCCUGAGUUUCAUGGGUUCUUCCU
rnacentral:pre_miRNA from 1 species